rnacentral:rRNA from 1 species
GCUACGGCCAUAUCAGCCUGGGUACGCCCGAUCUCGUCUGAUCUCGGAAGCUAAGCAGGGUCGGGCCUGGUUAGUACUUGGAUGGGAGACCGCCUUGGAAUACCAGGUGCUGUAAGCA